GACCAGGGAUGGGAAACGAACCCACAGUGUUCCGCUUACCGGGCAGAUGCCAUGUUCACUAGGCUACCCUGGA
rnacentral:tRNA from 1 species